GUAAAAUCAUUUUUGGAGGAGACGUUGCCAAUUUUAUACUGAAGCCAAUAACAAAAUAGGAUAUACAGGACAAAUAUUACUUCACAGCUUUGCUGGCAAGAAAGGAAGAAAUACACUUAAAGGCCAAGACUGAAGGUAAAGCAAAAUCUAGAAAGCAAUGAAUGAGAGUUCCUGUUCGUCUACAUUUUUGCCAGCAUUUGAUGUUGUCACUUGUCAGUGUGUCAUCAG